UGAACAAUCCAGGGAUUAAAAAAGCUGCUCAACCUCUUGUAACUGAGGCUCUUUAUUCCUUUGACCUUCAGGUUUGUGCUGCCCUGGGAGUUCUGUGAUAGCACAAGAGAGAAUUCUGACCCGUGACUUGGUAUCACCAGGACACUUAAAAAAAAUUUAAAAAUUUGUUUUCUUGUUGAAAAACAUGAAAUCUCCAUGGAAGAACUUCAAGGAAGUGCCUGAAUCCAAUUUGCUGAUGAGGAUCAGAUGGAGAUUUUCACCAAGAGGAGAGUCAAACUAAGGCCAGUGCCCACACAAUGUGGACUUGAAGAGACAGAAUUAAUGCUUGGAAAAAGUCUCUGCAAAGGGAAAAAUUAAAUCGAAUUCUAAAAGCAGAAACAUCCAGUUGAUAUAAUCAGAACAACACAAAUGCAGAGGAAAUCAGUCUGGAAUCCAGAAGCUUCAGCACAAGGUCAUGGAAUGUGAAGCAGAAAUAGGAAAUGAGCACCAGAAAUCCACCAGCAGCUGGGGGCAGCUGCUCUUUGGAGCCACAUGCCACAACUAUCUCCAACUCAGACUCUCUUCAAAGGCCACAGGAGCAGCUUGUAGGUAAGAUGACAUGAAUAAUUUUGAUUUGGGUAUAUCCUAAAAUUAAAGGCAUUCAAAAGUCCAAGUUUUGGCCCAGACUCAGGAGUUCAGAGCUGCUCCCUUUGCACACCCAUUUUUCUGCAGUAGCAGCUCCCUGAAUAACCACACACAAGGACAGAUGUUUAAAUCAGAUAAAAUUUCAUAUUUAACAUGAAAAUAAGAGUACUGAGAGGCAACUGCAGCUGUUUGAAUUUCAAAUAGAUCCCAAAGGGCUGCACAUCAGCCUCCUGACACAGGUCACUGUCCUGGCAGUGUUUUACUGCCAGCACAGGCAGGGCACAGAGAUUGAACACAUGGAUUGAGAUGAAGGAAGGUAAGAAAGAUCACUGAUUUUAUUACAGACCAGACAGAGUCACAUGUGACACAUCCUUUGGAAGAAAAAUAUUCCACACGAGUGGAAAGCCCACAGCUACAGCACUUGGAAUUGGAAACCAUUACAUGUGAGGGGCCAAAAUUCAGCAUUUCUAGCCAUGAGCUACUUACCAGACUCAUGCAGCCCCAAAGCCCAGUGCUCACAGCUGGGUAAUGCCACCAUCACAUUUUCCACACUCCCAGCUUUUCAAAACCUCUCCACUGAGGCUGAGAGUUUCCAUGCUUGGUGUCAGACCAAGCCACAGCUUUGGAAUUUCUCUUGGUUGAUGUGAAAUGAGGGAAAAUCAAUUUUUGUUUAGGUCAGAACCAGAGAUGCUUUUACCCACCAAAACCACAAAACCCUCAAGUCAACCAAUACCAAAUUGUUGAACCAACUGCUUUUUAACACCUCAUUCCACUAAUCUGCUUCUCUGGGUAUAAAACAAUUAAAAAAAAAAUUUAAAAGAUAAAAUUCUGCCUCUUGGAGACUUUGUUCUUACUGAGCAUGAAAAUGAUUUCUUACCCUGUCAAUCUAAGAGUGCCAACAGAGCUGCUGUGGCCAGAUCCUCACGUGGCAGGAACCACUCAAUCCUUUCCCUAGUAAAGGACACAAAAGUUUUCAAAGAAGUUACUCAGCAUUUUGAUUUCCCACUUCAGGAGCUCCACUCCUACAGCACAAAGCAUUUCUGUGCUCUGCACCUCCUGAACCAUACUGGCUCCUUGAAUUUGGAGUUCAGUGCCAUUAACCAUUUAAAAUCCACCAAACCAUUUCUCUGGGGGGCAGCAUUCCCUCCUCCUGUGUGUUUAUUCCACAACUCAGAUGUUCUGCAUGUUGAACAAGAAGCUGCAAAAGAGAUCAGUCCAAACUCAUGUCAAACUGCUUUAUUACAUCUUAAAUAACAUUACAUUUUAAUAUAGUAUCUAUCUUGCAUCCAGCUUUCUUGAAGUACACUGACUUUAAAAUUAAAUACAAAAGGUGAAGAGGGAUACAGGGCGUGGAGAAAGCUCUACAGAGUAGUUUCAUGAAAGAGAGUAAGAGGGAACUCAUCUUUUAUGCCAAAUCCAGGCCUAACGCACAAUUACAGCACAUUUUUGUACAGAAUGUUGCAGAAAAAACAAAAUGGAGAAAAGCUACUACUGCUGCUAGGAAGGAGCAUUUCUGGAUACAGUGAGAAGAUAGGAAAGAACAAUCUGCUGUCCAAACACUGCUGCUUUUAACAUUUUAUUUGAAAAGAAAGCCAGGAAAACCUGCUCAUUACAAAAAUGACUCUGAUCAGAUGCAAAGGACUCAUCCUGCAAGAGGAACUGGCUGUGAGGAACUGAUUUAUAAAGAAGAUGGUCUAGGUUCCCUCCUCCCACACCCCAGAAUCUUUGACAGCGAUUGUUUGAACAGGCUGUUUCUUUUUUUGUUUUUUUCUUUAAAAAAAAAAAAAAGUGACUUAUCACGCUACUCCAAAACGUGCAUAGCUUUGUACUGGAGUUCUUCAUAGAUUUAUGCACAGAGUAGCAACAAUAAA